CGUGCUAAUCUGCGAUAAGCGUCGGUGAGGUGAUAUGAACCGUUAUAACCGGCGAUUUCCGAAUGGGGAAACCCAGUGUGUUUCGACACACUAUCAUUAACUGAAUCCAUAGGUUAAUGAGGCGAACCGGGGGAACUGAAACAUCUAAGUACCCCGAGGAAAAGAAAUCAACCGAGAUUCCCCCAGUAGCGGCGAGCGAACGGGGAGGAGCCCAGAGCCUGAAUCAGUGUGUGUGUUAGUGGAAGCGUCUGGAAAGGCGUGCGAUACAGGGUGACAGCCCCGUACACAAAAAUGCACAUAUUGUGAGCUCGAUGAGUAGGGCGGGACACGUGGUAUCCUGUCUGAAUAUGGGGGGACCAUCCUCCAAGGCUAAAUACUCCUGACUGACCGAUAGUGAACCAGUACCGUGAGGGAAAGGCGAAAAGAACCCCGGCGAGGGGAGUGAAAAAGAACCUGAAACCGUGUACGUACAAGCAGUGGGAGCCUCUUAAUGGGGUGACUGCGUACCUUUUGUAUAAUGGGUCAGCGACUUAUAUUCUGUAGCAAGGUUAACCGAAUAGGGGAGCCGAAGGGAAACCGAGUCUUAACUGGGCGUUAAGUUGCAGGGUAUAGACCCGAAACCCGGUGAUCUAGCCAUGGGCAGGUUGAAGGUUGGGUAACACUAACUGGAGGACCGAACCGACUAAUGUUGAAAAAUUAGCGGAUGACUUGUGGCUGGGGGUGAAAGGCCAAUCAAACCGGGAGAUAGCUGGUUCUCCCCGAAAGCUAUUUAGGUAGCGCCUCGUGAAUUCAUCUCCGGGGGUAGAGCACUGUUUCGGCAAGGGGGUCAUCCCGACUUACCAACCCGAUGCAAACUGCGAAUACCGGAGAAUGUUAUCACGGGAGACACACGGCGGGUGCUAACGUCCGUCGUGAAGAGGGAAACAACCCAGACCGCCAGCUAAGGUCCCAAAGUCAUGGUUAAGUGGGAAACGAUGUGGGAAGGCCCAGACAGCCAGGAUGUUGGCUUAGAAGCAGCCAUCAUUUAAAGAAAGCGUAAUAGCUCACUGGUCGAGUCGGCCUGCGCGGAAGAUGUAACGGGGCUAAACCAUGCACCGAAGCUGCGGCAGCGACACUAUGUGUUGUUGGGUAGGGGAGCGUUCUGUAAGCCUGUGAAGGUGGCCUGUGAGGGUUGCUGGAGGUAUCAGAAGUGCGAAUGCUGACAUAAGUAACGAUAAAGCGGGUGAAAAGCCCGCUCGCCGGAAGACCAAGGGUUCCUGUCCAACGUUAAUCGGGGCAGGGUGAGUCGACCCCUAAGGCGAGGCCGAAAGGCGUAGUCGAUGGGAAACAGGUUAAUAUUCCUGUACUUGGUGUUACUGCGAAGGGGGGACGGAGAAGGCUAUGUUGGCCGGGCGACGGUUGUCCCGGUUUAAGCGUGUAGGCUGGUUUUCCAGGCAAAUCCGGAAAACCAAGGCUGAGGCGUGAUGACGAGGCACUACGGUGCUGAAGCGACAAAUGCCCUGCUUCCAGGAAAAGCCUCUAAGCAUCAGGUAACAUCAAAUCGUACCCCAAACCGACACAGGUGGUCAGGUAGAGAAUACCAAGGCGCUUGAGAGAACUCGGGUGAAGGAACUAGGCAAAAUGGUGCCGUAACUUCGGGAGAAGGCACGCUGAUAUGUAGGUGAAGCGACUUGCUCGUGGAGCUGAAAUCAGUCGAAGAUACCAGCUGGCUGCAACUGUUUAUUAAAAACACAGCACUGUGCAAACACGAAAGUGGACGUAUACGGUGUGACGCCUGCCCGGUGCCGGAAGGUUAAUUGAUGGGGUUAGCGGUAACGCGAAGCUCUUGAUCGAAGCCCCGGUAAACGGCGGCCGUAACUAUAACGGUCCUAAGGUAGCGAAAUUCCUUGUCGGGUAAGUUCCGACCUGCACGAAUGGCGUAAUGAUGGCCAGGCUGUCUCCACCCGAGACUCAGUGAAAUUGAACUCGCUGUGAAGAUGCAGUGUACCCGCGGCAAGACGGAAAGACCCCGUGAACCUUUACUAUAGCUUGACACUGAACAUUGAGCCUUGAUGUGUAGGAUAGGUGGGAGGCUUUGAAGUGUGGACGCCAGUCUGCAUGGAGCCGACCUUGAAAUACCACCCUUUAAUGUUUGAUGUUCUAACGUUGGCCCGUAAUCCGGGUUGCGGACAGUGUCUGGUGGGUAGUUUGACUGGGGCGGUCUCCUCCUAAAGAGUAACGGAGGAGCACGAAGGUUGGCUAAUCCUGGUCGGACAUCAGGAGGUUAGUGCAAUGGCAUAAGCCAGCUUGACUGCGAGCGUGACGGCGCGAGCAGGUGCGAAAGCAGGUCAUAGUGAUCCGGUGGUUCUGAAUGGAAGGGCCAUCGCUCAACGGAUAAAAGGUACUCCGGGGAUAACAGGCUGAUACCGCCCAAGAGUUCAUAUCGACGGCGGUGUUUGGCACCUCGAUGUCGGCUCAUCACAUCCUGGGGCUGAAGUAGGUCCCAAGGGUAUGGCUGUUCGCCAUUUAAAGUGGUACGCGAGCUGGGUUUAGAACGUCGUGAGACAGUUCGGUCCCUAUCUGCCGUGGGCGCUGGAGAACUGAGGGGGGCUGCUCCUAGUACGAGAGGACCGGAGUGGACGCAUCACUGGUGUUCGGGUUGUCAUGCCAAUGGCACUGCCCGGUAGCUAAAUGCGGAAGAGAUAAGUGCUGAAAGCAUCUAAGCACGAAACUUGCCCCGAGAUG
rnacentral:rRNA from 1 species